GACUGAUGCAAGCCAGAUCCUUUUAUUUAGCAAAACUGUGAUUAAUAGUUAAAUAUUAUUUUUGAGGGGCAAAGACAGGACUCUGCAAGUACAUACACAUUUAAAAAAAUAAAAUAAAAUUAAAAUAAAAAAAAAAAACAAGCCUGAACAAAAGGGCACUUUGGGCACCCAUCAGGAAAGGGGCGGGUGCUCAAGCCCCUCCCACCUCCCCUCCUCUGCACGUGCCUCUUCGAGUGAUUUACUAAUCUAGGGGUGGGUGCUCAGUGGGUGCAGUCAAAGCUGUCCCCCAGUUCCUGUAUAGAGUCUUUGGUCCAGACUGGAACAACUGUGUGCCCAGUUUGAGCUCUCUUCAGUGCUGUGACCUGACAGACCCAGAGGGGCCAUCACAUCACAUUUACAAGCUUCCCUAAUGGAGCCACAACACAUGUCCAAUACUUAGUCUGUCUUGUUGGACAAACUGGAAGAAAUGAUUCAAGGACAGAAUUGAGAUUCAAAUCUCCAAAAUCCAACUGGCUGCAUCAGAGCAUAUAGUCUGAAAACUCUGCACAGUUUCCUGUUUGAAGCUGCUUCAUGUUGGCUUCAGCUGUUUGGAGUUUCCAUUUUCUAAACUUCUGAACCUUCUUCAGCUCUGAACAGAUUAUGAAACACUGAAUGAUUUCAAGCUCACACUUUGUCUAAUAAACUUCCAUCUUUCAUUAUUUAUACAGAUUGGAGACCUGUGAUUUGUCAAAGAUCAGCUGUGAUUAUCUGGCAGCAGCGCUGAAGUCCAACCCCUCCCAUCUGAGAGAGCUGUACCUGUGGGGAAACAACCUGCAGGAUCCAGAUGUGAAGCAGCUGUCUGAUCUUAAGGAGAGUCCAGACUGCAGACUGGAGACUCUGAGGUGGAGAUGGUGGUAAACAGGACGGUGUGUGCUGAGAGAGGAGGAGCUGUGUCCUGAUGAUUCAGAGAGGUUGAAGCAGCAGCAGCUUGUGUGUAGAGACGCUCUGACUGGGCCAUGUUACUGGGAGGUGGAGAGGAGAGCUUCAUCCAGCAGUGACUGACAGUGUCCCUCUGGAUCUGACAGAGGAUCAUCAGUGUAUCUGGACUGCUCUGCUGCUGCUCUGUCCUUCUACAGUCUCUGCACAGUCUCUGUCUAACACUGGCUUCAGACCCUCCUGGAUCAAACUCACCUGGAAAGGCUUUCAAACACCUUUGAAUAAUAAACAUCAUGUUUUUAUAAGAUAAAUAUCAUGUUUUCAUUAGGGGUGCAACAAUACUCGUAUCAAUAGUGAACCGUUCGAUACACUGCUUUCGGUUCGGUACGCAUAUGUAUCGAACAAUACAAAUUUUUUUAUUUAUUUUAUCAACUUUUUGUCUGACGAUGCUGUCUGUGUUGAGCGCUCAGUGGAUCUGCGUUUGACCACUCCUCUUACGCUGCACUGUCGAGUGCAGAUCCACUGAGCUUAGCGCAAGCUAGCAAGACA
rnacentral:lncRNA from 1 species